rnacentral:rRNA from 1 species
GACGAACGCUGGCGGCGUGCCUAACACAUGCAAGUCGAGCGAACCCUUCGGGGUGAGCGGCGGACGGGUGAGUAACGCGUGGGUAACCUGCCCUAUACACACGGAUAACGUACCGAAAGGUACGCUAAUACGGGAUAAAGUUGUUGGAUGGCAUCUUCUAACAAUCAAAGCUCCGGCGGCAUAGGAUGGACCCGCGUCUGAUUAGCUAGUUGGUGAGGUAAUGGCUCACCAAGGCGACGAUCAGUAGCCGACCUGAGAGGGUGAUCGGCCACACCGGAACGGAGACACGGUCCAGACUCCUACGGGAGGCAGCAGUGGGGAAUAUUGCACAAUGGGCGAAAGCCUGAUGCAGCAACGCCGCGUGAGCGAUGAAGGUCUUCGGAUCGUAAAGCUCUGUCCUCAAGGAAGAUAAUGACGGUACUUGAGGAGGAAGCCCCGGCUAACUACGUGCCAGCAGCCGCCGUAA